CAGGCAUCACACAUGCAAGUCGUACGGUGGCAGCGAUGUCAUAGUGGCGCACGGGUGCGUGACACGUAGAUAACUUACCCAGUACUGGGGGAUAGCCCGCCGAAAGGCGGAUUAACACCGCAUAACAUAUACUGUUGGCAUCAGUAGUUGAUUAUAUAUACGGAGGUUGUGGAUGGGGCUGCGGCUCAUUAGCUAGUUGGUAAGGUAACGGCUUACCAAGGCGACGAUGACUAGGGGAGCUGAGAGUCUGGUCCCCCACACGGGCACUGAGAUACGGGCUCGACUCCUAUGGGAGGCAGCAGUAGGGUAUAUUGGGCUAUGGGCGAGAGCCUGACCCAGCCAUGCCGCGUGCAGGAAGAAGGCUUUCUGAUUCGUAUACUGCUUUUGAUAGGGAAGAAUAAGCACUACGUGUAGUGUGAUGACGGUACGUACAGAAUAAGCACCGGCUAACUCCGUGCCAGCAGCCGCGGUAAU
rnacentral:rRNA from 1 species